GGCAUCGUGAAGUGCAAAUACCUUGAGCUCAUCUCAGACUUAUUCAUCCUUAUAGAAAUCAGGGUGGCUUUGACAUGAUUCGCAGUGGGAGGGCACAAGAUUGAUCGAAGAAAGUUGCUUCUUCUUGCCGCCGUUUUGUCGCUUAUUAAGGAAUUUCUCGCAAUAACCGUUCAUGCUCCUCUGGAUUCUUAAGCUUGUGGUAGUUCUUCGGAUAGUUGAAGCAAGACACCGAGGUUAGACUAUGCAUAGCUGCAACCUUUGUCGCAGGCAACAGCAGCUUUGAGGCAUUUUGUCCACCGUUUUAAGAUGUAAUGGGAUGGUAAUGUAAGUACAUUUGUCACAGCGGAAACAGUUAAAACGCGCCUGCAAAGGAGGCUCGAAUACUCAAACAUUUGGCAGGUUAUGGCUGGUGUGAUCGGUUAUGGACCAGGUUGUAUGGUGCUCAAAUCAAGUUCAGUUAAAACCAAAGAAUCUCCUUCAAGUAAGCCACUUGGAAUAAAUCCUGAAAAUCUAUUGUUGCUAAGCUUAAGGAUUUGGAGAUCGUAAACAAAAUAGAAUCCAGGUAAUUCACCAUUCAAUUGGUUAUAACUGAGAUCCAACACCUUCAAGUUUUGGAAAACCGGUAGCUCAGCUCCACCAACCAAUGAACCGCUUCAUUGACACUUUAAUCAAAAUCAGGAAAUAUACAAUCUGCUCAAUGGAAUUCAUGAAUCCUGGAAUGGAGCCGAAGUGUAUUCGUAUUGCCGGCUGGAUUAGUUUUGCAGAAGAGAUUUUAGUUUUUUUCCGCGUUUGCAUUUGGAAGGCUCGCAUUUCAUGUCGGCGUCUUCGGCCAGACCUUGCUUCUGCUCGGUUUUGGAGCCGCUGUUGCAACUUGCUUUUAGGAUGUUUUUGUUGUAUCAUGUGUUAUCUUCGUUUUAGUGAGCUCAAUCUAGUACAUCUUUGUGCUUUCUGAUAUCACUAUUAUUGUACAAUACUGAGAUCUUUAUUCCCAAAUUUUUUAAUAUAUUAUUUUGCCAUUAAAAAAAAAA